UCCAACCUAAGCUUUUCUCGGAUAUUGGUAACAUUAACCAACUCUUAAUAGGUUAAGAACGCACCUUCUUAUUCACAAUUCUUUUUACUUACUAAACUUAACCAAUUCACCCAUGUAGCAAGCAGAGGAUCGAUGACUCCCAACCAAUCAAGGUUUAGGGCAUCGGGUUUUAAAGGCUUUCGCCACCCCUUCGGAUCAUG
rnacentral:lncRNA from 1 species